UACGUAGGGGGCAAGCGUUGUCCGGAAUCAUUGGGCGUAAAGCGCGCGUAGGCGGCCCUGUAAGUCCGUUGUGAAAGUCAAAGGCUCAACCUUUGAAAGCCGAUGGAUACUGCAGGGCUAGAGUCCGGAAGAGGCGAGUGGAAUUCCUGGUGUAGCGGUGGAAUGCGCAGAUAUCAGGAGGAACACCAAUAGCGAAGGCAGCUCGCUGGGACGGUACUGACGCUAAGGCGCGAAAGCGUGGGAGCGAACGAGG
rnacentral:rRNA from 1 species